AACAAUACUAACUCACAUCGAAACGAUUAUUGUCGGAUAAUCGUUCUGAUCCGGGUUCCCGGAAGUGUCAAUUUCAACACCGGAACCCACCAUCGCUCACCCAUCAUUUCCGAACCCUCGAAAUGAUGUAAGUGACCAGCCAACAAGGCUUAGCGACAUAAUAAAUCAUCAGGAAGCACCGUCGGAAUAAUUCUGAAUCGAACACGCGUUCCGUCAGCGGAUUUCGCUGACAAACGCACCGGAAAUGCAUUUUCGAUCUC
rnacentral:lncRNA from 1 species